AGGCGCGAAAACUUUACAAUGCUGGCAACAGCGAUAAGGGGACCUCGAGUGCCAGGAUACAAUCUUGGCUGUCGCGAUGCCUAAAAAGCAUUGCAUAGCAAGGGCCGGGCAAGACCGGUGCCAGCCGCCGCGGUAACACCGGCGGCUCGAGUGGUAACCGCUAUUAUUGGGUCUAAAGGGUCUGUAGCCGGCCGGAUAAGUCUUUUGGGAAAUCCAGCUGCUCAACAGUUGGGCUUUCAGAAGAUACUGUUCGGCUCGAGACCGGGAGAGGUGAGAGGUACUUCAGGGGUAGGGGUGAAAUCUUGUAAUCCUUGAAGGACCACCAGUGGCGAGGGCGUCUCACCAGAACGGAUCUGCCGGCAAGGGACGAAAGCUAGGGGCACGAACCGGAUUAGAUACCCGGGUAGUCCUAGCCGUAAACGAUACUCGCUAGGUGUCAGCCACGGUGCGACCGUGGUUGGUGCCGUAGGGAAGCCGUGAAGCGAGCCACCUGGGAAGUACGGCCGCAAGGCUGAAACUUAAAGGAAUUGGCGGGGGAGCAC
rnacentral:rRNA from 1 species